AACGAACGCUGGCGGCAUGCCUAACACAUGCAAGUCGAACGAUACCGUCGUGUCUGGUGGCGCCCGGGUGCGUAACGCGUGGUAACCUGCCCGUAGGCUCGGAAUAACUCCCCGAAAGGGGUGCUAAUACCGGGUAAUUUCUGCGGACCAAAGAUUUAUCGCCUUUGGGUGGGCCCGCGUUGGAUUAGCUGGUUGGUAAGGUAAAAGCAUACCAAGGCGACGAUCCAUAGCUGGUCUGAGAGGAGGCUCAGCCACACUGGGACUGAGACACGGCCCAGACUCCUACGGGAGGCAGCAGAGAGUAAUAUUGGACCAUGGGCGAAAGCCUGAUACAGCAAUGGCGCGUGAGUGAUGAAGGCGUUAGGGUUGUAAAGCUCUUUUAACCGAGAUGAUAAUGACAGUACCGGGAGAAUAAGCACCGGCUAACUACGUG
rnacentral:rRNA from 1 species